UGAUGAUCAGGUUUGCAUGGGGAUCAAUUUUAAGAAGAGGGUAAGGAAUUUUGACAAAAAUGCACCACUACAAGAUCGACGAACAUUCACGACUGAAAACCGGUUGCAUCUCUGAAAAAUGUAUGUGAAUUCCAGUUCGCCGCCCGCCGUCAACUUUUAGUGUUGGUGGGGCUACUAAGUGCAAGAGAAUGUUGAAUACAUGCGGUCGCGUAAACCGGUACAAACAACACAUAAUAAAUAAUGAAUUAUAAGACUCUUUUUGUUUUGGUUUGUUUUUGAUGAGUGUAACAGACCUUCAGUAUUCUAAUCCGCGGAAAAUAGUGCGUAUUUUCGAACUUAUCCUGAAAAAGGUGACUGUUUUUCUUUGUUUGCGAAGUGCCUUUAGUGAAUCGGAAGCUUUGGAAUUUUUCAGAGAAGGGUUAAUAACCAA